UACGUAGGGUGCGAGCGUUGUCCGGAAUUAUUGGGCGUAAAGAGCUUGUAGGCGGUUUGUCGCGUCUGCUGUGAAAAUCCGGGGCUCAACCCCGGACUGCAGUGGGUACGGGCAGACUAGAGUGUGGUAGGGGAGACUGGAAUUCCUGGUGUAGCGGUGGAAUGCGCAGAUAUCAGGAGGAACACCAAUGGCGAAGGCAGAUCUCUGGGCCGUAACUGACGCUGGAGGAGCGAAAGCAUGGGGAGCGAACAGG
rnacentral:rRNA from 1 species